UGAGGAAUAUUGGGUCAAUGGGCGAGAGCCUGAACCAGCCAAGUAGCGUGCAGGAAGACGGCCCUAUGGGUUGUAAACUGCUUUUAUGCGGGGAUAAAGCGGGCGACGUGUCGCCCCUUGCAGGUACCGCAUGAAUAAGGACCGGCUAAUUCCGUGCCAGCAGCCGCGGUAAUACGGAAGGUCCGGGCGUUAUCCGGAUUUAUUGGGUUUAAAGGGAGCGCAGGCCGGGUAUUAAGCGUGUUGUGAAAUGUAGGCGCCCAACGUCUGCACCGCAGCGCGAACUGGUGCCCUUGAGUACGCACGACGUUGGCGGAAUUCGCCGUGUAGCGGUGAAAUGCUUAGAUAUGGCGAAGAACUCCGAUUGCGAAGGCAGCUGACGGGAGCGCUACUGACGCUCAUGCUCGAAAGCGCGGGUAUCGAACAGGAUUAGAUACCCUGGUAGU
rnacentral:rRNA from 1 species